rnacentral:rRNA from 1 species
UACGUAGGGUGCGAGCGUUGUCCGGAAUUAUUGGGCGUAAAGAGCUCGUAGGCGGUGUGUCACGUCGGCCGUGAAAACCUGCAGCUUAACUGUGGGCGUGCGGUCGAUACGGGCAUCACUGGAGUUCGGCAGGGGAGACUGGAAUUCCUGGUGUAGCGGUGAAAUGCGCAGAUAUCAGGAGGAACACCGGUGGCGAAGGCGGGUCUCUGGGCCGAUACUGACACUGAGACGCGAAAGCGUGGGGAGCGAACAGG